rnacentral:rRNA from 1 species
UUGGAGGGCAAGUCUGGUGCCAGCAGCCGCGGUAAUUCCAGCUCCAAUAGCGUAUAUUAAAGUUGUUGCAGUUAAAAAGCUCGUAGUUGAAUUUCGGGAUUGACGUGAUGGUCAUGCCUUAAGGGGUAUGAACUGUUACUGUUGAUUUCUCACCUUCUGGAGAAACUUGAUGUCCUUUAUUGGGUGUCUUGCGGAUCCAGGACCUUUACCUUGAAAAAAUUAGAGUGUUUAAAGCAGGCAUUUUUGCUCGAAUACAUUAGCAUGGAAUAAUAGAAUAGGACGGCAUGGUUCUAUUUUGUUGGUUUCUAGGAUCACCGUAAUGAUUAAUAGGGAUGGUUGGGGGCAUUAGUAUUCAAUUGUCAGAGGUGAAAUUCUUGGAUUUAUUGAAGACUAACUACUGCGAAAGCAUUUGCCAAGGAUGUUUUCAUUAAUCAAGAACGAAAGUUAGGGGAUCGAAGACGAUCAGAUACCGUCGUAGUCUUAACCAUAAACUAUGCCGACUAGGAAUCAGACGAUGUUAAUUUUUUAAUGACUCGUUUGGCACCUUACGGGAAACCAAAGUGUUUGGGUUC